rnacentral:lncRNA from 1 species
GCGAGCGCGGAGCCAGGUGAGCGCGGACCCUGCGCGACCGGCCCGUCCGCACCGCCCUCGGCACGCACCGCGGCUCGGGCACCGCCACGGCGGGGCGGGCGUGCAUCAGCCCCGGGUGCAUGGACACAGCGGGUGUGGGUGCAUCAGCUCUGCGUGCAUGGACACGGCGGGUGUGGAUGCAUCAGCUCUGGGUGCAUGGACACGGCGGGUGUGGGUGCAUCAACUCUGGGUGCAUGGGCACAGCGGGUGUGGGUGCAUCAGCUCUGGGUGCAUGGACACGGCGGGUGUGGGUGCAUCAGCCCCGGGUGGCAGUGCGGGCCCAUGCAGCCGGGCAAGCUGGGUUGCCCAGGGGCAAAUGCUGCCCAUCCCCUGGAUGAAGUCGCCGGUCCAGGCUCAGGCCGUGCUGGUGGGGGGAGCCCUUCCCUGCCGCAGACAUUAACAGCCCCCAGCGGCACCCUCUCCUGCUCCUGGCGCCGCUGGAGGCAUGGCCGGAGGCGCUGGUCAGGCUGCAGGCUGGGGAGCUGGCGCCGAGCUCCUGGUCUGUGCCAUCAGCAGAGAGCACUGUUCAAUCGCUGCUCGCCUUGGCUCGGGGCCAUUUCUGCUCUGGACACAAAGCCCUUGCCAGUUCCCUGCUGUGCUCCCGGGUGCCGUGUCCAGCUGGUUAGCGCGGCUCACCACCCGUCUCCCCAGGGACGUGCAGCCCGGUGGGAGCAGGGAUACCCCCUUUGGAAGCGGGGAGCCCCUUUCCAUCACAGGAGCCGCUGGAGAGGCAGCGCCCAGCCCGCCUGCGGGGCUGCCUCCGUGCUGGUGCCUGCUCUGUGCGCUGGGGAGAGCUGUGCUGGGUGACAGCGGCUCCGCGGGUGUACAGGGGUGGCAGGGGGCUGGAACCAGAUGAUCUCUAAGGUCCCUUCCAACCCAAAACAUUCUAUGAUUCUAUGAUCUGCCCAUCUUCGAUGCUAGAGCUUGAAACUCCGCAAGUUCUCUGCUCCCUCGAAGAGCCAGCACUGAGCACAAUCUGGCAAGCCUCUCCCCUCCAAAAUGCCUGUUUGUCCCUGGGACUGUCUCAGCGGAGCUGAGAGCAGCCACUGGCCUGAGCGUGCUGCAGUGCAGGACCCCUCAGGUCCUGCCAGGGAGCUGUGCUGGAUGCAGCCAGCUCCUGCCCCGCUCCUCUGCUGCCACUCGCUCACAUUUCACUGAGCUGUGACCCCCGUGGGUUCACAUUGCCCUGAGCCCUGCAGUGGGGCAGACAGCAACCCGAACCCAGCAGCUGGGGUUUCAGAGGCAGGGCAGGGCGGCUGUGCUCCUGGGGUCACCUCCUCGUCUGUGGUCUGCCCCGCGGCAGACACGUGCCUCUCUGCGAGCCGAGGGGAUGCAGGGGCUCCGGGUAAGCCGGCCUGCUCCCCCUGCCCAGCAGCCGCCCUCUGCACCUCUCCCUGCCAGCUCUUGCCCUGCGCUGCCGGAGGCCGCCACCAUGACCCUCACCAAAGGCUCCUUCACCUACUCCAACGGGGAGGAGUACCGCGGCGAGUGGAAGGAAGGUCGCAGGCACGGCGUUGGGCAGCUGAUGUUUGCUGAUGGCACCGCUUACGUGGGGCACUUCGAGAACGGGCUGUUCCACGGCUGUGGCGUGCUCACCUUCUCUGACGGCUCCAGGUACGAGGGGGAGUUUGUGCAGGGCAAGUUCAACGGCGUCGGCGUCUUCACCCGCUGCGACAACAUGACUUUUGAGGGCGAGUUCAAAGGCGGGCGUGUGUACGGCUUCGGUCUCCUGACCUUCCCCGAUGGCUCCCACGGGGUGCCCCGCAACGAGGGCUUCUUUGAGAACAACAAGCUGCUGCGGCGCGAGAAGUGCCCGGCCGUCAUCCAGAGGGCCCAGGGUGCCUCCAAGUCUGCACACAACCUGACAGCGUGAUGGUGCCCCACGUCCCCUCCCGCCGCAGAAGGGACCCCCCCACUGGGCAUCAGCUGGCCCUGCCAUCCCCAGAGCAGGGAUGUGGCACUGCUGGGUGCCCCCCUGCCCUCUGUCUCCGCCAAGCCCCCCCUGCCAAACCCCCAUGGCUGGGGAGGACCCCUCCACCCAAGUGCCGCAGGGCAGCCGUGGUGCCUUCUCUCUCUGGCUAUAGCCCUGGCACCCGCUGGAGCAGCACGGGGACGGGGUGGCUGGGGCUCGGCUCCUCUGCCCCCAGGAAGACUGUGGAGCGCUGGGGCUGCUGGCCUGCUGCAGAGGAUGGAGCAGGGGUGUAGGGGCUGAGCCCUCACCCCACUGCCAGGGUGCCUUGGCUGGGAGCUGCUGGCUGGACCACGCGCUUGCAGAGCGGCAACUCCUAGCCCACUUCACUACCCUGGUUUCGAGGCAAGGUGGGCACCCUGUGGCCUGUCCCCCUUCUGGGUGACUGGCCAUCCCCCAGCUUGCCUGGGCAGGGUGACGUGGUGCCCUGAAAGGACCCAGCCUGCUCUCGGCCCUGGCAAUGGGCUGUGUCCCCCUCAUCCCUGUGCCUUGGGGACAUCUGCAGCAGUAUCCCCAAGAAAGGGGAUCAGGGAACACGCAGCCUGGCUAUGUCUGCUGCACACUGGGGGAGGGCUGGAGGCAUGGUGAGCUGGGAGCAGGGUCUGACAGAGCCCAGAAUGAGGGGCACAAGCAGGGCUGUGUAGGGGCCAGGGCUGGAGCAGGGGGUCCAUUCGGGGCAGGUGGGGAUAGGGGCACGGUGAAGGGGCAGGCAGGGUGGGCAGGGAGCACACAGCUCCCCAUCUUGCCCCCCACGUGCAUCCUUCAUCUCCCUUCACCCUGGUGCGGUCUGGCCGUGGUGCGGGGGUCCCGGCAGCCCUCGCAGCCAUGGCCUUCCCUGCCGGUCUCUGCCCGCACCGGUCCCGUGCCUUGCCGUGACCCUGCCUUGUGCUGCUGCCUGCACAGGCCUCAGCUGAGUAAAUCACGUUGCCAAACGCA